CCUACGGGUGGCAGCAGUGAGGAAUAUUGGUCAAUGGGCGCGAGCCUGAACCAGCCAAGCAGCGUGAAUGAUGACUGCCCUACGGUUGUUAAACUUCUUUUAUAAAGGAAUCAAGUUAGGCACGUUUGCCUUUUUGUAUGUACUUUAUGAAUAAGGAUCGGCUAACUCCGUGCCAUCAGCCGCGGUAAUACGGAGGAUCCGAGCGUUAUCCGGAUUUAUUGUGUUUAAAGGGAGCGUAGAUGGGUUGUUAAGUCAGUUGUGAAAGUUUGCGGCUCAAACGUAAAAUUGCAAUUGAUACUGGCAGCCUUGAGUACAGUUGAGGUAGGCGGAAUUCGUGGUGUAGCGGUGAAAUGCUUAGAUAUCACGAAGAACUCCGAUUGCGAAGGCAGCCUACUAAACUGCCACUGACAUUGAUGCUCGAAAGUGUGGGUAUCAAACAGGAUUAGAUACCCGGGUAGUC
rnacentral:rRNA from 1 species